UACGUAGGGGGCUAGCGUUGUCCGGAAUCAUUGGGCGUAAAGAGCGUGUAGGCGGCCCGGUAAGUCCGCUGUGAAAGUCAAAGGCUCAACCUUUGAAUGUCAGCGGAUACUGCCGGGCUAGAGUCCGGAAGAGGCGAGUGGAAUUCCUGGUGUAGCGGUGAAAUGCGCAGAUAUCAGGAGGAACACCAAUGGCGAAGGCAGCUCGCUGGGACGGUACUGACGCUGAGACGCGAAAGCGUGGGGAGCAAACAGG
rnacentral:rRNA from 1 species